UGACCGUUCCCAGUAAUCUUCAUCAAGGAAUUAACACAAGGGAAGGAAAAGUUAUUUAUCCACGUCAGCAAGACACUGUCAAAAGUGACCGUUGACAUUUUGUAUAUAUGUUUUCCCACCGAAUACAAAGUCACCUCAGUUCACAUGACCGAUUUCAAGCUUACCAUGAAUCCAAUCAUCAAUCAUCAUGAACGAGCUCUAGUAAAUGUAAAGAAAAAACAGCGGCAGCGCAGAUGGCCAUAUGAGCAUAUCAACGUGGAAAACGACGGCUCAUUUCAGAUCACAAAUGCUUUUCUCUAAGAUGCACGUGAUCGCCACGUACGGCUGCACAGUCCUAUCCAGAGAGCAGUGUACCCAUCGAUACAGGUCAGAUCUUUGUCCCCUUCCCCAUCACAUUGCCCGCGGCGAUCCAUCCCCCUUUGUCCCGGUCCUCAUGCGGUACGCCGCUGAUCAGAGCCCCCAAAUUGCUCUUCUCAAGACGUCAGAGCCCUCCAAAUUGAUAGUGGUACACAGAAUGCAACCUGCAAGAGAAGCAAUUCGACUAUAAAAGUGAAGCAAUCCGGCUAUAGGAGGACGGCCAUGAGCAUACACUCAGUUAUAUAUACGUCUUCAGGGAGUUAAUUAAUUGCUAGUGCACAAAAGCAGCAAAUAAUCGGCAUGACCGUCGCACGACAUUUGUCAUUGGCAAAAUGUAUAAUUUCGAGAUGCGGAGGACUGCCAUCCCAUUAAUUCCCGUCCAAUGACGGUUUUCGACGAAACCGUGUGCUUCUGAGGUGGACAAUGACAUUGCACCGGCCACCUAGAUGGAUGGGGGUAACACACAAGAUUUCAUUAUCCACAAGUAAUGAAAUUAGGUCCACGGCAAAGAGUAAGAGACAAGAUUUAUUAUGAUGCGGUUUAACAGGGCAAUAGCAUGUUACCAUGUGCAUAAGAAUAAUGUUUCCCAUCGGCCGGUGGCAUGCAGCCGUGCGACAACCAAAGAUAACUAUGCAAGUAUAUGUAGAUGUAGGGGACUGCUGAGUCAUAAAGCUGAAGAGCACAUGCUCCGUCCUUCCAUGGUUGGGGCUUACUCGGAACAAAAAGGUUCCUUGCAAGCAACUUUUUGAUCCAUAUAACCAUAAGAAGAAGGCGUUGCUCUACCACUCCAUUUCAUUCCCCACAAGCGAGAGAGAGAGAGAGUGAUAGAGGGGGAGCUGAAGGCAUGGAGGGCAAGCACACCGAGCAGGUAUGUUCUGGUACCCAGCCCCUCCAGUUCCUCAAGAUUUGAACCAGGAUUUAGGAUUUGUAGAUAGAGGCUAGAACAGACAGAGUGCGAAAAACCCAGGUUAUUCAGCCAUAUAUGAACUUCCAAAACCUGCUAAUUUCAAGGAUCUGCGAGGAAUUAGCUAGAACUAGUUGAUUUCUGCUGUAUCUGGGUCGAUUGUGCAAUCAGAUAUUCAGAUACAUGUACUAGACACUAGGAAUUAAGCCACCCAGUACUAUUUCAAAGAAGAAAAAUUGAAAUUUCAGUUUAUCCUCACCUGAAUUCGUACCUUGUUCAUCUGCUCCAAAGGCAAACGUGAAGGCGAAGCUCAGCACGAUGCACUUGAAGGUGAUCUGCUGCAAGCUCUACAUUUCUGAAAGCCAAAACGCGGC
rnacentral:lncRNA from 1 species